rnacentral:lncRNA from 1 species
GGAAGGGAGUGCCAUUUGCCCUGCUGGCUCUUGGGUGGCCCGGAUAGGAGGCUAGCCGUCCGUGAGCUGUCCUGCCACAUGGCAGCUGGCAGGAGCCUGCGCCCCCGCCGCCGGAACACAGGCCCGCACUGUGAGGGAUUAGGUGGAACAUAUGCACGUAAGAUGCUUAUGGCUUUUUCCAGACAGAAGGCCACUUUCCAGCCUGAGGAGCAGCUUGGAGGAAACAGGCUUUUUUUCUUGACUCAUCUGUCAGCUGAAAUUCUCACGGAGACAAAAGCUGUGGCCCUGAAGGCAGAGCGGCUGAGACAGUGGACGUGGGAAUGAAUGGCCACUGAAUCUCUUGACCUAGAAUUGUGCUCCUAGAGAAGGCUUUCCACCUUCCCCCCGGGGCCCAUUCAUUGAGGACGACUUGGGUACUUUGGUGGCAAGCAACAGAAGUGGAUUCUGCUACCUUAAUGAAGAAAAAAAGGUAUUUAUUGAAAAGAUAUGGGGAGCUCACAGAAUGGAAGGAAAUGGGCGAUAAGCAGCCCUUAUGAGGGCCAGAAACCCCGGCGGACUAGGCAGUCUGGGUAGAAGGAAGUAAUAGUCCGCUCUGAAUGUUGCUGUGAGGAUGAACUGACUUCAGCUUUAAAAAAAACAAGCAACCUUUUUUUGUAAACUCAGAGAGAUGCAGUGAUUAGAAUUAAGCCCACUCUCAGUUCGUGGCCUUAUGCCCUGAAGGGUCUGGGAGAGGCCCUGUCAUAUUCUAUUUUAUGUAUUUCCUUAUUUGAUCCCUGAGCCCCAUUGUCCUCCCCAUAGACAACCACUUUAAAUGUGCUCAAUUUCUGUCCUGGAUUUGCA